rnacentral:rRNA from 1 species
UGGAGGCAGCAGUGAGGAAUCUUGGGCAAUGGGGGCAACCCUGACCCAGCCAUGCCGCGUGUGUGAAGAAGGCCUUCGGGUUGUAAAGCACUUUCAAGGGUGAAGAAAGGCCUGAGGCGAAUACCCUCGGGUGUUGACGUUAGCCCUAGAAGAAGCACCGGCUAACUCCGUGCCAGCAGCCGCGGUAAUACGGAGGGUGCGAACGUUAAUCGGAAUUACUGGGCGUAAAGCGCACGUAGGCGGUUCGUUAAGUGGGAUGUGAAAUCCCCGGGCUCAACCUGGGAACUGCAUUUCAGACUGGCGAACUCGAGUCUGGUAGAGGGGGGUGGAAUUUCCUGUGUAGCGGUGAAAUGCGUAGAUAUAGGAAGGAACAUCAGUGGCGAAGGCGGCCCCCUGGACUAAGACUGACGCUGAGGUGCGAAAGCGUGGGGAGCAAACAGGAUUAGAUACCCCGGU